rnacentral:rRNA from 1 species
GGCCUGCGUCCGAUUAGGUAAUUGGUGGGGUAAAGGCCUACCAAGCCUGCGAUCGGUAGCUGGUCUGAGAGGACGACCAGCCACGCUGGGACUGAGACACGGCCCAGACUCCUACGGGAGGCAGCAGUGGGGAAUAUUGGACAAUGGGCGAAAGCCUGAUCCAGCAAUGCCGCGUGGGUGAAGAAGGUCUUCGGAUCGUAAAGCCCUUUCGACGGGGACGAUGAUGACGGUACCCGUAGAAGAAGCCCCGGCUAACUUCGUGCCAGCAGCCGCGGUAAUACGAAGGGGGCUAGCGUUGCUCGKGAAUUACUGGGCGUAAAGGGCGCGUAGGCGGCGGCCCAAGUCAGGCGUGAAAUUCCUGGGCUCAACCUGGGGACUGCGCUUGAUACUGGGUUGCUUGAGGAUGGAAGAGGCUCGUGGAAUUCCCAGUGUAGAGGUGAAAUUCGUAGAUAUUGGGAAGAACACCGGUGGCGAAGGCGGCGAGCUGGUCCAUUACUGACGCUGAGGCGCGACAGCGUGGGGAGCAAMCAGGAUUAGAUACCCUGGUAGUCCACSGCCGUAAACCGAUGUGCGCUGGAUGUUGGGGCCCAUAGGGUCUCAGUGUCGUAGCCAA